GAUGAACGCUGGCGGCGUGCUUAAUACAUGCAAGUCGAGCGAACGGACGAGAAGCUUGCUUCUUUGAUGUUAGCGGCGGACGGGUGAGUAACUCGUGGAUAACCUACCUAUAAGACUGGGAUAACUUCGGGAAACCGGAGCUAAUACCGGAUAAUAUUUUGAACCGCAUGGUUCAAAAGUGAAAGACGGUCUUGCUGUCACUUAUAGAUGUAUCCGCGCGGCAUUAGCUAGUUGGUAAGGUAACGGCUUACCAAGGCAACGAUGCAUAGCCGACCUGAGAGGGUGAUCGGCCACACUGGAACUGAGACACGGUCCAGACUCCUACGGGAGGCAGCAGUAGGGAAUCUUGCGCAAUGGGCGAAAGCCUGACGGAGCAACGCCGCGUGAGUGAUGAAGGUCUUCGGAUCGUAAAACUCUGUUAGUAGGGAAGAAGAUAUGUGUAAGUAACUGUGCGCAUCUUGACGGUACCUAAUCAGGAAGCCACGGCUAACUACGUG
rnacentral:rRNA from 1 species